CUUGCUCUGUGGGAUCAGUGGCGAACGGGUGAGUAACACGUGAGCAACCUGCCCCUGACUCUGGGAUAAGCGCUGGAAACGGCGUCUAAUACUGGAUAUGUGACGUGACCGCAUGGUCUGCGUCUGGAAAGAAUUUCGGUUGGGGAUGGGCUCGCGGCCUAUCAGCUUGUUGGUGAGGUAAUGGCUCACCAAGGCGUCGACGGGUAGCCGGCCUGAGAGGGUGACCGGCCACACUGGGACUGAGACACGGCCCAGACUCCUACGGGAGGCAGCAGUGGGGAAUAUUGCACAAUGGGCGCAAGCCUGAUGCAGCAACGCCGCGUGAGGGACGACGGCCUUCGGGUUGUAAACCUCUUUUAGCAGGGAAGAAGCGAAAGUGACGGUACCUGCAGAAAAAGCGCCGGCUAACUACGUGCCAGCAGCCGCGGUAAUACGUAGGGCGCAAGCGUUAUCCGGAAUUAUUGGGCGUAAAGAGCUCGUAGGCGGUUUGUCGCGUCUGCUGUGAAAUCCGGAGGCUCAACCUCCGGCCUGCAGUGGGUACGGGCAGACUAGAGUGCGGUAGGGGAGAUUGGAAUUCCUGGUGUAGCGGUGGAAUGCGCAGAUAUCAGGAGGAACACCGAUGGCGAAGGCAGAUCUCUGGGCCGUAACUGACGCUGAGGAGCGAAAGGGUGGGGAGCAAAC
rnacentral:rRNA from 1 species